rnacentral:tRNA from 1 species
CGCGGGGUGGAGCAGCUUGGUAGCUCGUCGGGCUCAUAACCCGAAGGUCGUCGGUUCAAAUCCG